rnacentral:lncRNA from 1 species
AUGGACGGCAGCGAGCGGCCGCGGGGCUCUGGCAGCUGUGCGGAACUGGAGCCCGACUCGGUAGACGAGGACCGCGAGAUCGCGUCUAGCGCCGUGCUGCUCGUCCUCGGCGGGGUGAGGAAGGGGACGGUCCACCUGUGCUCCGCUGUGGCCGAGCUGAUGCGCGAGAACCGCCGCUUACGGAGGACCGUGGAAGCUCAGAGAGCCCAAAUCCGGCUCCUCAGAAGCAUGCCUCCUGCAGCAAGGGCCAUGUGGCCUCAGACAAGGACCCCUUCCAGUGCUUCCUGCUAUUCGUCAGCAUCCCUGUCAACCUCACAGGACUUUGGUGUCUCCCCUUCAUGCAGUAGCUCGGGAAGGGGGAGUCUGUCCCCUGGUGUGCCUCUUCCAAUCCUGCCUCCCCUGUCACCCCCCCAGAACAAUGUCUCAACAGCUCACAGGAGAGUGGCCACGGUACACUCCCCCAGACAGACAGGCCAGCAAGACUCCCUAGAGCUGCAGGUCCCCCUCACACAGCCACAUCCCAGCUCACCUCCAUUCUGCAGAAGAGCAAGUAGUAAGUGGGAAAGGAAGCCAGAAGAACUCUCCCCUGAGAAAGAUGUUCAGGCAUCAGAAAAAAAGCAAAAGAAAAAAAAGACCAGCAGCAUCUAUAAAGAAGACCUGAGCAUAGAGCCAGACUUUGCUAACCUAGGGUUGAAAUGGAGAUGUUCUCCAGAGCCCAGCUCAUCCUCACAGUGUGAUGCCAGAGAAGGCAGCAGUCACACGUCCAGAUCAAAGCACCGUUUGAAAAUGAACGACCGUGUGGUACUGAACAGCAAGCAGAAAGGUGUGGUCCGCUUCAUUGGACCCCUGGAGAACUCUACUACCGGUGAGGUGUUCAUCGGGGUGGAGUUAGACACAGCCUGUGGAGAGAGUGACGGAACAUUCCAUGGGAUACGAUACUUUAAAUGCAAGCCCAACUGUGGUACCUUUACUACAGUGUCACAUCUUAAAAAGCUCUCAAAGCAGUCAAGCCCCCAGAGCCAACCCAUUACUAGGACUGACUCAAGUGACUCUGAUGGAGGGGCAACAUCUGCUAAGGGCCCUAAAAGCAGGCUGCGGCGCACCAGGAACCAGAAGAACGUCGCUGUUCUUGUCCACUGGGAGCCUGAAUCAGGCUCUGGAACAUCAUGACAGGCAUGCUGGCAUACUGCAUUACAGGCUAGUCCACUGCAGACCUGUUGUGCUGAACUUACUAGUAAGAAUGCAAUAUUGACUCAAGCCCUUUGGCUUUUGUGUGACAGGUACCUAAUUAUAGUAGGUUUUCAAUUUUUGAAAGCAUUAAGAAAUUAAGUCCUUGACACCAAUUUUUAUACAGAUGUGAAUUUAAAUAUUUAAUUUCAUGUACAAAGAUUUAAUGUCAGCUGUAAAUGUGUAAAUUUUUUUUAAAAAAUGGGCACAUGAAGGUGCUAUGUUGCCCCUAUUCAUGACCUGUACAUUCAAAAGGGGAACCAGGUUCCAGAAAGUCAAGCCCCAGCCAUGUAUUAAAAUCACUUUUUCUUUAUUCUUAUGGCUACAUUCUCUACAAUUUCAGCAGCACCUUGGGUGACAUUUUACUGUACAGUGGAGAAAGAGGAAGUAAAAGCUUGCAACAUCAAAACCUUGUAUUCCGAACACUGGUGAAGAUGGUUGGAAAUGUACAUAUAAUUAAGCGCUGAGUCAGCUUGCAGAGACAGGACAUCGACUGGGGGAAAGGUACAGUACAAAUAUCAGGAAAGAGUAAUUUAGCUUUACUGGCCUAGGACAAUUUUGGUAAUGCUUGCGGACAUAGCCUCAGAAAACUACGCAGAUGGCAACUAUGAAAGGGUACAUGACCCUUACGCUGGAUUCAUAUUCAUCAGCCUUGAUCCCAGGAGAGAGCAAAGGGGUGGGGGGUAGAAUAUUAUGUUGAACUGAUUUUUACAGCAUGCUCUGAUUUCCUGAUAAUUACCUUUUCCCAAUAACAAAACUAGACCAUUUCACUGAAAGAUCAUAUAGCCUUUCUGAAAGUAAAAGCAACAUCAACUGCAGCAAAAAUCAAAAGCUCCAGAAAACAUGAUAGAAGGAAAAAAAUCUUUGCACAGAACUGCUGAAAUUUAGGAACCAAAAUUGUAACUCCUGUACAGUAAAUAUACAUUUUCUGAAGAGGGAUUUUUCCUGCAUAGGAUUCUAUACAUUAUCAUUUGUCUACGUUUGGUUAUGUUCUGCAAUCCACAGUAGGAUUCUGCCUGGGCCAAAACAGUAUCAUGUACAAGGUCACAUGACAAUCUGUAAUAAAAAAAAAAUAUUCAGCCA